UUUUGCCAGGUAUACAGUAUGUACAAGAAUUUCCCUUAGGUUGUCAAGUUAAUAAGAAUCCUUAAUCUCAAAAAUUUUUUUUAAUCAUUCCUAGUGUUAAUAUAAUAAUUGAAUCUUCACUGCAUGCCUUAAUUAUUGACUCAGUUGCUUCAGCCUUCAACUCUUAAUUACUAUGGCUAUUGCUUUUUAUAGAAGAAAUCUAUGGAGCCUUUAAUUACUCAGUUCACAUCUAUCUCCAUCUGCUUCUAUCUUCCCCUCUGUUUUUUACCUACAUGUUGGCAGUUCACCACGUUCUAGCUGCCAUCCUAUAAUCUUUUAGCGCUCCAUCCUUUCAUGGUCAUAUUUAUUCUCAGGUGAAAUUCUGUUGUCAAAUGUAAUUUCUCUCUAGAGAGUCUUGGGCUUGCAUUUCCAACUACUUGUUGAGCACAUUCUUGUUUUUCAGCACCUGAAACUUAAAGUAAACUCAGUGUAUUUUGUUUUUCUCAAAUUUCUAUCUCCCUUUGAAUUAUAUCAUAAACCUUCCAAUUCUUCACUUUUUUUUUAAUCCUCACCUGAGGAUAUUUUUCCCCCCCAUUGAUUUUAAGAGGGAAGGAAAGACAGAAAUAACAGUUUGAGAGGAGCAUCAAUUGGUGACCUUCUGCAUUUACUCCAACCAGGGCCCAGGCUGGGGAGGAGCCUGCAACUGAGGUACAUGCAUUUGACAAGAAUUGAACCCUUUAAUUUGCAGGCCAAUGCUCUAUCUACUGAGCCAAACCAACUAGGGCGCAAUUCUCUAUUCUUGAACCAGGUUAUCAUCCAUACUUAGCUUUUUAGGACACUUCUAGCACAUGUUCGAAAAUAUCUAACACAUUCUCUCCUAUCCCCAUACUUGCCAUUUUUUGUUUAACAUCUAAAAUCAGAUUGAGUAAUAUAACUAGCUACCCAGAAUAUAUACAGGAAAUUGAGCUAGGCACUCAGUGAAAGCUGCAGUAACACAGAUGGUGUUUGUGUAUUAUUCUCAUGCCAUGAAAUGAAUCUCAAAUGUGGGAGAGAGCAGGUUGGGCAUAAAGGACCUUGAAAACCAGGCAAAUAGUGUUGUGUUAUUACUGUAAGACGGAGAUUUAAAUAAUUAUUUUCAAAUGAGCAUUUGAUUGAAGUAUUAACUUAUGUACAUGUAAAAGUAUAUACAUACACAAAUACUCAACAUUUAAUGUGAAGUUCAUUGAAUUUUUAAAAGUGGAAAUACUGAUGUUUUAUCACUCAGGUCAAGGGGUAGAAUAUUUCCGGGUUCCCAAAAGACCCAUCAUGCCUCCCCCUACCCCCCUCCCGCCUGUUUUCUAAACAUCAGUUGAAUCAUACAGUAUCUAGUCUUUUUAUAUCUGGCUUACUUGAUCGGUAGUAUGUUUAUGAAAUGCACCCAUGUUAUUGUGGGUAGCAGUAGUACUUUCAUUCUCAUUAUUGUAUGGCAACUUGUUUUAUGAAUAUACCAUGACUAGUAGGUUGUUUCUUAAACAGUCUAUGUUUUCUAGUAAACAUAUGAAUAUAAUUAUGUCAAGGGCACAUUUAGAAACUGAAUUAUUGGGUCACAAACUAUGCAUGUGAUUAUCUUUAGAUACUGCCAAACCAUUUCUGGUGUGUUUGUAGUCACAAGUCUUUAGUCAGUCAGUUACCUGAAAGGUGGAGUGUGUCAUUCCUUUUUUAACCUGAUAGCCAUAACACAUUGUAGACCCUUGUACAGUUUUUUUUUAAUAAGGAAAGGCAAUGAAAACAUUCAUCAGCAUCCAGCCAGCAUUUCUUGAUCAGCCACUAGGCUGUAAUUGACAUACUUGCCAUCAUCAUGGAACUAAGUUGGGAUUAAUAGAGUAUAAG